rnacentral:rRNA from 1 species
UACGUAGGGUGCAAGCGUUAAUCGGAAUUACUGGGCGUAAAGCGUGCGCAGGCGGCUUUGCAAGACAGAUGUGAAAUCCCCGGGCUCAACCUGGGAACUGCAUUUGUGACUGCAUGGCUGGAGUGCGGCAGAGGGGGAUGGAAUUCCGCGUGUAGCAGUGAAAUGCGUAGAUAUGCGGAGGAACACCGAUGGCGAAGGCAAUCCCCUGGGCCUGCACUGACGCUCAUGCACGAAAGCGUGGGGGAGCAAACAGG